AAGUUAGUGAUGAUUAUAAAAAUAAUUCUUCGUUUUGACUAACGUAAUUUAAGCAUGACAAACCUUUUAUUACAAUCACAGAAUUUGAGCUAC
rnacentral:snoRNA from 1 species